ACGCGUACAAAUCUACCUUUUACUGGGGGAAAGUCGCUGGAAACGGCGAAUAAUCCCGCAUACGACUUGUUUAACACAUGUUAGAUAAGUGAAAGGCUUCGGUUGGUAAAAGAUGAUUGUGCGUCCCAUUAGCUAGAUGGUAAGGUAACGGCUUACCAUGGCGACGAUGGGUAGGGGGCGUGAGAGCGUGAUCCCCCACACGGGUACUGAGACACGGACCCGACUCCUACGGGAGGCAGCAGUAAGGAAUAUUGGUCAAUGGAGGGAACUCUGAACCAGCCAUGCCGCGUGUGUGAUGAA
rnacentral:rRNA from 1 species